rnacentral:misc_RNA from 1 species
GAUGAAGAACGCAGCGAAAUGCGAUAAGUAAUGUGAAUUGCAGAAUUCAGUGAAUCAUCGAAUCUUUGAACGCACAUUGCGCCCGCCAGUAUUCUGGCGGGCAUGCCUGUUCGAGCGUCAUUUCAACCAUCAAGCCCCAGGCUUGUGUUGGGGACCUGCGGCUGCCGCAGGCCCUGAAAACCAGUGGCGGGCUCGCUGUCACACCGAGUGCAGUAGAUUACUCUUCGCUCAGGGCGUGUGGCGGGUUCCAGCCGUGAAACCCCCUACUUCUCAAGGUUGACCUCGGAUCAGGUAGGAAUACCCGCUGAACUUAAGCAUAUCAAUAAGCGGAGGA